GUGAGCAGACAGCAUGACAGCUAUUCAUUGUAACAUGCAAUGAUCAACUGUGAUGCAUCCUUGAGCCUGGCCAGAGGAUUGUUCCGUGUGUGAGGCCUUGUUGCUGGUUCACCUUGCCAUCUUUGCCGAAGAAUGAGUGAGAAUUAUCCAUAGAACUUGUAUGUCUUCACGGUCUUAUUCCAGCUCAAGUGGAAUGAAUUUCUCAAAAGUUAAAACUUGAACCACAGGCUUAGGCUGAAAUAGGAGUUUUUAACUCUCUGGUAAAAUAACACAGGAAAUUCAAAGAAAUUUCACCUGGAAAGAAAUCUCUAUAAAACAUAUCUGGGAAUCCAAUGAAGGAGUCGUAUUAGUAACUCUGCCUCAUAAUGUCGCUGCUGAGAGAGCUGAAUCUCAUCUAGAGAAACAGAGUCCCUAGGAGCUGGCUCGAGCCAUGGACAGGACCCAAGCUGCCUCAUCCAGGGGAGUCCCUCAGGGGCCUCACUGCUGCCUGACAAGCAAAUGAAGCCACAGAGGAAGUACGAAAGGCCUCCACAAAGCCAUCCCUUCUCACAACAAAGCCCCAAGCUCCCGUUUGCUCAUUGGAUUAACCCAAAGUCUCCAACUGCCUUCCCACAGCACCCUCCCUUGGAGAGUUCAUGCUCAGAGCCACCGAGUAAUUUUUAUUGUAUAGCAAGCAGUUGCUUAAAUAGGUUGUCUUCAAAUGGUCAUUAUCCAAGCCCGCCCCGCCCCCUCCACCUGCCACAAAUCUCCCCGGGGUAGGGGGGCAGGCCCUGGCAGCUGCCGCCCUGCCCGCCCCGCCCUCGCUGGCCCUCAUAAAUAAGCUCCAGUGUGAUCAAGGCCUGGAGAGGCCUGCAGCCACGGGAGUGGCCGCCUGCUCUGGACCUUCUGAGCAAGCGUUCCAGUGCUCUGGGGCACACUUAGCACUUUGGGCCUAGGGAGGCUGUGGGAAUGGGAUCAGAUUUCUUCCCCAGGGAAAUUACCCAAAUACAUUUUAAAAUUUAUAGUCUGUGUUGUGAUAAUAAAUAAAAAUAAAAUAUGCC